GACGAACGCUGGCGGCGUGCUUAACACAUGCAAGUCGAACGGUAAGGCCCUUCGGGGUACACGAGUGGCGAACGGGUGAGUAACACGUGGGUGAUCUGCCCUGCACUUCGGGAUAAGCCUGGGAAACUGGGUCUAAUACCGGAUAGGACUCCGGACUGCAUGGUCUGGGGUGGAAAGCUUUUGCGGUGUGGGGUGGGCCCGCGGCCUAUCAGCUGGUUGGUGGGGUGCUGGCCUACCAAGGCGACGACGGGUAGCCGGCCUGAGAGGGUGACCGGCCGCACUGGGACGGAGAUACGGCCCAGGCGCCUACGGGAGGAAGCAGGGGGGAAUAUUGCACAAUGGGCGCAAGGCUGAUGCAGCGACGCCGCGUGAGGGAUGACGGCCUACGGGUUGUAAACCUCUUUCAGCAUCGACGAAGCGAAAGUGACGGUAGGUGCAGAAGAAGGACCGGCCAACUACGUGCCAGCAGCCGCCGUAA
rnacentral:rRNA from 1 species